rnacentral:misc_RNA from 1 species
GAUGAAGAACGUAGCGAAAUGCGAUAAGUAAUGUGAAUUGCAGAAUUCAGUGAAUCAUCGAAUCUUUGAACGCACAUUGCGCCCGCCAGUAUUCUGGCGGGCAUGCCUGUUCGAGCGUCAUUACAACCCUCAGGCCCCCGGGCCUGGCGUUGGGGAUCGGCGGAAGCCCCCUGUGGGCACACGCCGUCCCUCAAAUACAGUGGCGGUCCCGCCGCAGCUUCCAUCGCGUAGUAGCUAACACCUCGCAACUGGAGAGCGGCGCGGCCAUGCCGUAAAACACCCAACUUCUGAAUGUUGACCUCGAAUCAGGUAGGAAUACCCGCUGAACUUAAGCAUAUCAAUAAGCGGAGGA